UGGUUCUGGCAUCGAUGAAGAACGCAGCGAAAUGCGAUACGUAGUGUGAAUUGCAGAAUUCAGUGAAUCAUCGAAUCUUUGAACGCACAUUGCGCUCCCCGGCAUUCCGGGGAGCACGCCUGUUCGAGCGUCAUUUACACCCUCAAGCCUAGCUUGGUGUUGGGCGUCUGUCCCGCACUCGUUGCGCGGACUCGCCUCAAAGUCAUUGGCGGCGGUCGUGCCGGCUCCUCGCGCAGCACAUUUGCGCUUCUCGGAGGCCCGGCGGAUCGGCAUCCAGCAAGCUACCUUUUAUGACUUGACCUCGGAUCAGGUGAGGAUACCCGCUGA
rnacentral:misc_RNA from 1 species